CUCCUGUUAUCACUCCUGUUAUCACCGCACCUGAUCGCCUCACCUGAUCGCCUUUUAGCUGGAUCGUGCAGCUCGCCGUUGUUUGGCAGUUCAUUGGCCGGGUCUUCCUUCUCCCGUAUCGACCCCAGUUCUAGGGCGUGCGAGUGUUUUCCUCCUCUACCUGUUGCAGCGGGGAGCGAUCAGCUGAUUGAUCGAGUUGCACUUGUAAUUGUGCUGCUCGGUACAAGUGAUCCCCUUCCUCCCCUUUGAUGUUCAUUCAACUCCUGACGGGUUGACGUGUGUGUGUGGGCGGUUUCUGCCAGCACGUUCCCCCCCCCCUCUUCACGCUGCUGUUGGCCGGCUGCUGUUUUGUCCACUGGUUUAUAUAGCCAACACAUCCAUCCUACUCUGCAUCUCCUACUGUGCUGUACCUGCCACCGAGUAUGGUGAUUGCUGCCUCAACCUCAGUCUCAUUAUCUUAAUCUAUUAAUUUAACCGACUUCUAACUGAUCUUAUUGAUGAUAUUAUUUGUAUUUUGUGGGUUGCUUUGCAUGUUUGUUUUGGUUUAAUUCGUUUUCUUAGUUAUUUUGGUUUGGCUUAAUUGCUUUACUUAUUCAUUUGGAUUUAUCAGUUUGGAUAAAUCUCCAUUGUUUUGAUUUAAUUUCUUUGUUAGUUUUCUUUUGGUUUGCAUUUAUUGGGGUUGUUUAAGUUGUGGGUUGACACGAUUUAACCCUGAUUUAAACCCCAUUUAGUUAAUUGCCCUCUCCUUUUUGUGUUUGUGUGUGUG